rnacentral:snRNA from 1 species
CUCUGUACAGUUGCAGUAUGGUAACCAAUGAGGUUUUUCCAAGGUGUGAUUAUUGCUAAUUAAAACUUUUCCCAGUACCCCACCAUGACAACUUGAAAUAUAAUAUGCAUUGACAAUUUCUGAGAGUCUCUAUGGAGA